GAGUACCGUCAUUUUUGGCAUUCCGAGUUGAGCUGCUGUUUCGAAAACCUGUUUCGCUGCGGCUAUGGCUCCUAGAUAAGCGUUGGAAUCGGCGUCUCCGCUGCCGAUAUGGAAGGACACGCCGGAGACGGUGAGUCUAGCGGCUUGAGCUGUACGGAGGAGCGGCUCGAUUUCCUCCGGUAAUGCGCCGUAUUUUGGACCCAUUGGGCAUCUCGCGUUGCCGUCGGUCAUGGGUUUGAUUCGAAGCAAAAGCUCGCAUUUUGGGUGAUGUUUACGGAUCUUGUAAACUUCAUCCUCGGAAUCG
rnacentral:misc_RNA from 1 species